UACGUAGGGUGCGAGCGUUAUUCGGAAUUACUGGGCGUAAAGCGUGCGCAGGCGGUUUUGUAAGCCGGAUGUGAAAUCCCCGGGCUUAACCUGGGAAUGGCAUUCGGGACUGCAAGGCUGGAGUGCGGCAGAGGAGACUGGAAUUCCUGGUGUAGCAGUGAAAUGCGUAGAUAUCAGGAGGAACACCGAUGGCGAAGGCAGGUCUCUGGGCUGACACUGACGCUCAUGCACGAAAGCGUGGGGAGCAAACAGG
rnacentral:rRNA from 1 species